rnacentral:piRNA from 1 species
UCCUCCAUACUCCUGACCCCGUUGAGG